UCGUGUCGCGCAGGCUGGAAUUCAACCCAGCGAAACAAUCGGAGGAAGUGUGGAGCUUUCCCCACGUGGGCAGCGAAACGGGGUCCCUGCUUAUCAAAGUGACAAGAUUUAUUCAGUUGCUACAAACUUCCAAAGACUUCCUUUCCCAAAAGAAAGGCCGGGAGGAAGGUCAUGUCCCUCAGCCACCUCUGUCGAGCCAAGAGCACCAUCUGCUUCGCUUCAAGCGGCUCAGUCAGGUCUACAGCAGUCAGAUGGGUCUUCUAAACUCUCACCUCAUCAUGUCAUCGACCCACUCCAAACCUUCUCUAUGUCUCACCCGCUUAGAGUAGAAUUCAUCAUUUUCCACCAGCAUCAGGUGACCAGAGAGCAUCCUCAGACAUGGACAUGACUAAAGGAAGCCAGCUAUCAAAACCAUCCAAUUGCACAGUUUAGAGCAGAUAGUCUACACCGAUCCCUUCAUUCUGAGCUUGAGAGAGUGUCCCCGGGUCUCAUGGCACCACAUCAGAGCACCUGACCCUGUACCAUGCUGUAUGUACAUCACACUUAUGAGCAAAGCACCCAAAUAGAAGGGUCACGCUCCUCCUCAGGGGAUCUAGAAAAGGGGACGUGUAAGAAUUUGUUCACCACCUGAGAAAGAGACUGCCCCAGUGAUCGGUGGGGAUGUAUGUGGCGAAUUCUCAAGAGACUGAGCGAUACACAUAAUGCCAGUUUAUUAGCACCUGUUACCUGCCCACCUCCUAGAGGCCUCAGAUGCAGAAGACUGUUUUUGAACAGAGAAGUAUUUCAAAGGGAGAUGCGCCUUUUUCAGGAGAUGUGUGAACCCACUUCUGAUGGUCUCUGCUCUGGAGGGGCUCCCCGAGUUUCCUGAUCUAUAAAGCUAAGAACCAGGUGCCAGAGAGGGAGGGCAAACAAGUGGCCUGAAAGCGCAGCUCGCCUGCAUUUGCAUCUGUGGGAUGCAACGCUUCACUAGUAAUCAGGGCACAGUUUCCAGCUAACUGUAGACGCGGCUGCAGAAUCUGUCUCGGCACUACAAGCCGUUCAGUGUUGGCGUGAAAGCGGAAGCCUAUCUGCUCUGCGUGCUCGUGAUGAGGAGGACUCUAUCCAUGUCCACCCACCUGGGAAACAGCACCCAAGCAAGCAGCCAGCUGUGUCCUCCCGCGGGCGUCUCUCUCAGUAUGACACUCCCAAGACCCCUGCUUGGUCUAAAAUCCAGGCAGCACUUAGCAGUGGGCUUGAGGGUGGGAACAACACAUCGCAGCUAGGCAACCCCUCCUCUAGACAGGCCCUCAAAUUCUCAUGGCCCCUAGAUGACCGAGUGGCACUUCUAGGGAUUUUCUGUGCUUCAGUCAAUCAACCAGUCAAUCAGUAUCUAUUGGAUACCUUCUACAGACAUCCUUAACCAUUGGGGGGACUUGGAUCCAUCUGAUCAUCUGAUGAAAACUCUAAACUGCUAUACUCGUGUGCACCGUAUCAUCUACAAACAGAGAAAAUCCAGUUAAAAGUGCCUUAACAGAUAGGACAUUUAUGAUGUCACAUAACUUAAUAGACAGGACAUUCAUUAUGUCACUCAUCAGGGCUGGUCGAGGCAGAGCUCAUCACAGCCACAGUGUGAGGCCAGGUGCUUCCACACUUCCCUCUCUGCCCUCCUUGUCCCGUCAGCUGUGACCUGUGGUCCUGGCAGGGCUGCAUCCGCUCCAUGCACCCAGGUAAGGACGCUGAGGUCUAUGAAGAAGAGACCCUCUCUCACGGGUCACCCUCAUCAAUGAGAACCCUCUUUCCCAGAAUUCCUGGGAAACUUCCCUUCAGAUCCCAUCGGUCUGCAAAGUGAUGAGCCAAAGCUGAAACCAAUUGCUGCAAGGAGGAGACUUCCAGGAUUGGCCCCAAUCCCCAGAAGGCUUGUUAGGAAAAAAGAAGCCAGGAAGACGCACUGCUCUUGGUAAGCAACAGCACACACAAACUUUGCCUACAGUUUUGGGGAAUUCAUAGACCUUAAAGUCUCUCCGUGAAGGUCCCCUGAGAGUCUCGGGGCCAAAUACUGUGUUAGCACUAGAGCCAAGCACAUGGAGAAGCGCGUCCUGCUAGGCGAGAUAUGGGACAGGUUGAUUUCAGGGAAGCUGACUGUAUAAAUUAUGAUUAUCAUAGUAAGUUGCAAAAGCAAAAACAGCCAGCCCGCAACUGCUAUGAAGAUCGGAUGGAGGUAGGUGGUUUGGGAUGAGGUGGGAAAACUGAGCUGAUUGGAAGGACGACAAGAUUCCAGGGGAAGGAAAGGCAGGCAGAGGCGGGGCCAACAGGCAUUCCACACCCAGAAAAAGCCCAGGGUUUCUCACAUGACAGAAGAGUUUGCAGCUGCGAUCUCAGCUAAGCCACUGGCAGGCCCACGGCUGUAUUUGUAUUGAGUCCUUUUGAUGACAGCAUGAAUUCUGAGAACAAAGCUUCCAGGCUGGGGAUGUGUAACCAGAACCCAGAGAUAAAAAUAGUGUCUCUUCACAUGCACAUAGGUCUGAUCUCAGAGCUCUGAAAAAGAGUUUCUGUCAUUUAUACAACUUAGAAGAUUUCUCGAAAACCACAAAUCAGGUGAAAGUCUGAACAUUUCUACUUGGCUCCAUUCAUCAUGUAUAAUAUUCUUUCAGUUAUUUGGUACUUCUCUAAUUAACUUUUCUUUCUCAUUGAAAAAUCCGCUGACUUCUGAAGUUAUUUUGAGAUAUAAGUAUAACAGGGAAUGAUUUAGCAGAUUAAGAUUAGAGUUCUUAUAAUAACAUUAAAGAGUGUAUCAGGGAACCACAUGUGACUCUUCAGGGAAUAAAGUUUCCUUAAAGAGACCAAUACACAUGCUUAGAUUUUAAAAUUAGCAUGAGUAACAUAAUUUUCCAGGUGGGAGAAGAAAAAUGAGGUCUUAAACAGUUGUACUUUGGCCAAGAGGAGAAGAGAAACAAAGUGGAAGGCUCUGGACUGACUCUCCCUGGAUAUCACUUUGAGGGGCCACUGCCAAAUGUCACACUUGAAAAGCCGAGCCUUCGCGACUGAUGAUGGAACCAUGCUCUUGGGGGUGACCCUCCAGUCACUAAUGUUCAUGGGAAGGAGUUCAGGAACCCCUACCCUCCCUGGCUCCUGUGUGUGUCUGCUGUUUGCCUCUUGAGAUUCUGGCUUAGGUUAGUCCUUCUCAUUGGAACUGUCCCAUCUAAUCCCAACCGGGCCGCUGGCUCCUCCCUUGCCACAUGAACCCCGUGCUGGUGUGCUGCCCACAUUUCAGCUGCCAGCCAAGCUCUCCUUUUAGCUUCGGCUGUGGCCCCAGAGCUGGCAACACGGACAACCCCUGUUACGAGAACCAUGUCUCCAGCUGCCACAUUUCUGAGGUGGCCGAUCCUACUGUCACUUUGGAGGACAGACUGUUGGGUCUCCAAAAGUGCUGCUGCUUUAGUCGUCUGAGCAAUUCCAGUGAUGGAGAUGCCCAUCAAAGACUCGGUUCCUAUAGUUACCCUAAACUGGAGACCAGAUUCCUGACGGUCAGGCAUUUUCCCCCUGCCUCGGAGGAGGUGACAAAGGAGGCGACAGAGGACGUGGACACUCCAUUGGGUCCUCCUCGUCCCGCUGGGACAUCUGACGCUCUCUGCAGUCUCUGGGAGCCCAGCACACACAGCGGUCAAACUUUUCAUUCCUCCUUGGACCACCGCUGAUGUUCAGGCCUCAUGUGCUCCUCACUUUUCUCUUACUGCUGUGGGCAUUUCCCCGGCCAUCCGCCUCGGUGGCUUCCCCUGCAAGUCUGCUCACUUCCCAGGUGUCACAAUGGUGCUGAGCUCCAGACACCCCAGCUCUGUCUGCCUCCCUUUCUGCAGCCUCUGACUUGCACAGCGAGCUCCUGUGCCACAAGUCGGAACACACGAGUGUUCUUUUUUAGGCCUACAGUUUAUUUAGUGACUGUUACGAUGCCCAGCAUGUCCAAUAUAUGAUAGUCAUGAUCUCUGAUAUUUACAAUAGUGGUGACCAGUGUUUAGGAAGGAGUGAAACAGGCUGUAUCAGCUUCCUAGGGCCACCAUAACAAAGCACAACAAGCCGGGGGCUAAAACAACAGAAAUUUAUUGCCUCACGGUUCUGGAGGCUAUGAGUUUGAAAUCAAGGCAAUGACAGGGCCCUGCUCUCUCCAAAGCCUCCAGGGGAGCAUCCUGCCCUGCUCUUCCAGCUUCUGGUAGCCCAGGAGUUCCGUGGCUUGUGGCGGUGUCACUCCAGUCUCUGCCUCCACUGUCCCACGACACUUCCCCUAUGUCCUGUCUUCUCUUCUCAUCAGGACACUGGCCAUAUAGGAUUAGAGCUCCUGACCUCAUCUUAACUUGAUUCCAACUGCAGAAACCCUAUUCCCAAAUAAGGCCACACUCACAGGUACCACGGCUUAGAUCUUCAACCCACCUUUUGCGGGGGCACAAUUCAACCCCUAACACAGACGAAGUUUGUCUUUGGCCUCCUUCCCCGCCAUCCCUUCUGCACCCCCAUGCUUCUCUGGAACCUUCCUUCCCCAUCUCCACCCCUUAGCCCCUGCCCCUUUCAAAAUCUCCACCAGCAGCAGGUGAGGGAGGACUGAGAACAGGUCGUGCGGAGGUGAAUGGAAAGUCCUAAACUCACCCUGGGGGACACCAGCAAUAGAGCUCCACACAGCAGAGAAGGGGCACCGAGGAGGAGACACGUGUGGGGCCCUGAGGUCGUUUCAGGGAGGCGUUUGCUGACACGAGGCCGGUGUUUCCACAGGAAACCUAAAUGCUCAGCACUGAGCUGGGCUCGGGUCUCCUGACAGCAGCUCACUCCUUCAAGGGGGAUAAAUCUUCAGGACGGCAGAUGUGUGAGCGGGAAUGACCCCAGAUGCUGCUUCUGAGAGCCCGGCAGCUUAGGCUGCUGUGAAGGUCACAGGGUUACUGCAGGAGGAGUGGCGGUGGGUGCUGCUGUGGAUGGAAUUGUGUCCCCCACGUCCAUGGAUUAGAAACUUGGUCCCCAUUGUGAGGUAUUAAGAGAGUGGAAAUCCUAUUAUGGUAAUUGAAAGGUGGGGCCUUGAAGAGAUGAAUAAAUUGUGAGGGCCCUGCCCUAGUAAAUGGAUGAAUCCAGUGAUGGCUUAAUGGUGGCCACGGGGCAUGGUUCUGAGGGCUUCAAAAGGAGGAGUUAGCUCGCUCUGCUUCUGCCAUCCACCAUGUACCCUGCUUUGCUGUGAGGACUCACUACCCACCAAGGAAGUUCUCACCAGAUGUAUCCCCUGGACUUUGAGCUUCCCAGCCUCCAAAACUGUAAGCAAUAAAUAUUGUUUCUUUACAAAUUACCCAGUUUCAGUUAUUUCUGUUAUAAGCAACAGGAAUGGACGAAUACAGAAAAUUGGUACCAGAGAAUUGGAGUGUUGCUUAUAACAAAUACUUGAAAAUGUGGAAGUGGCUUUGGAACUGGGUAUUGUGUAGAGGCUGGAAGAACAGGCUAGGAAAAGCCUAGAUGUUGGUGAGGAGAGUUUGGAACAUUUUAGAGACUGGUUAAAUGGUAGUGAGCAGAAUGCUGAUAGAAAUAUGGACAGUAAAGGCCAUACUGAGGCGAUCUCAGAUGUAAAUGAGGAGCUUAUUGGAAACUGGGGCAAAGAUCACCCUUGCUAUGAACUGGCAAGGAACUUGGCUACAUAAUGUUCAUGCCCAAAAAUUGUAUGGAAUGUGGAAUUUCAAGGUGUUGACUUAGGGUAUUUGGCAGAAGAAAUUUCUAAGCAGCAAAGCAUACAGGAAGCUUCAUGGCUACUUUCAACAGCCUAAGCUGAGUUAUGAAGGCAAAGGCAUGAGGUAAAGCUGAAAUUUAUAAUUAACAAGGAAGCAGAGAGUGAAAAAUUGAAAAACUCUCACCUUGGCCGCAUAGAGAGUGAAAAGGUGUUUUUGGGAGAAGAAACGAAGGGUGCAGCCCAGUGACUUUUGCUAAGGAGAUUAAUACAGAAGGAAGGGAUUAUCAAGAGAAUGGAAGAAAGACCUUGAAGGCAUUUCAGACAUCUUCAAGGCUGCCCCUCCCAGUUCUGGCCCAGAGGCCUAGGGAGAUAGAGUGGUCUUGGGGUCUGAGGUGCCCUCCGUAGGCUCACUGCCCAGGGAUGCUGGUCUCCACACCAGCACCCUGGUGGCUUUGGCUGAGCCAGCCAUGGCUAAAUUAGCCCCAGGUAUGGCUGGACCUGCAGCUUUAGAAAAUACAAGUGGCUUGGGAGCCUCCACCCCAAUUUCAAAGGAUUUAUGGAAAAGCCUGGGAACCCAGGAAGAGAUCUAUAGCAGGGGUGGAGUCACCACGUACAACCUUGAAUAAAACAAUGCCCUGUAGAAAUGUGGGGUCAGAGCUGAAUCAGAAAUACCCCACCAGGGGCAUGCCUAGUAGAGCCAUGAGAGCACGACCACUACAAAGACCCCAGAAUUGUAGAGCUACACAGUGGAAUGCUAGCCGGGAGAGCUGAAGCAUGAACUGAGACCAGGAAAGCCAUAGGAGUGGAGCUGCCCAAGAAGUUUGGAGAAUGCCAAACAUGGAGUCAAGGCACAUGAUUCACCAGCUUUGAGAUUCGAUGCCUGCCCUGCUGGGUUUUGGACUUGCUUAGGACCUAUUACCCCAUUCUUUUGACCUCUUUAUCCCUUUUUGAAAGGGAAUAUGUACCCUAUGCUUGUCCCACCAUUGUAUCUUGGAAGUAAAUAACUUGUUUUGAUUUCACAGAUGGGACCCUGAGACUUUGGACUUUGGACUUGAAACAAGUUAAGACUGUGGGAAUGGGAUGAACUUGGGGGCCAGGGACAGAAUACUGUGGAUUGAAUUGUGUCCUCCAAAGUCCAUGUAUUAGAAACUUAACCCCACUGUGACGGUGUUAACAGGGUGGGAAAUCCUAUUAUGGUAAUUGAAAAGUGGGGCCUUGAAGAGGUGAUUAGAUUGUGAGGAUCAUGCCCUGGUAAAUGGAUUAAUCGACUAAUGGUUUAAUGGUGGUCAGGGACAUAAAAAGGACGACGGAGGAGUUAGCUCUCUCUCUGCUUCUGCCUUCUGCCAUGUACCCUGCUUUGCUGUGAAGAGUCACUAUCCACCAACAAAGGUCUCACCAGAUGU